CACACCGAACAAUACACCAACAUAUGCAACUUCUUCUCUGCAGAACCUUUAUCUUGCUUCUUCUUGCUUCAAGGUACACCUUUGGGUUUUCGUCAAGUUCGGCAGCGUGUGACAUGAUAUAAUUAUCUCAAAAACCAAAGCUAGAUUCAGAGGUCGCAUGGGGUAGCCAAGGAUGUUAAUUUUGUGAAACAUAAUCUUUUAUUAGAUCGGUUAUAAAACCAAAAUAUAUGAUAUCUUAUGAUAGGUGGUUAUGGGGUUCUAUUAGUUGUAAUAAUCAACUUAUAUUAAUGUGUGUAGUGGUGAAUCCUGUGGUUACGACCCCUAAAAGUGUUAUGAAUACUUUUUGGGGCCUAAAACACAAUGGCAAACAUCUACACAUGAUUAUUAAAGAUAAACCAAAAGAAAAAAGACUUAACGACGCAUUAACAAAUGUUGUUAUUUACGGCAUUUGAUGUUAAAUCUAUGCAGCCUGUGAUCUUCUCGAGUUACGAGGUGAAGAAAAACCCUGAUCUUCAUGCAAAGUUUUCUGAUAUAUGCAUUUGUACGUCGGCAGCCCCAGUAUAUCUCCCUGCCCAUAAAUUCCAAACUAAAGAUUCAGAAGGAAAUAUACUUAGGGAAUUCAAUCUUAUCGAUGGUACAGUGAUUGUAUAAUUGGUCUAGAACAUGUAAUUGAAAGAAAUAACAAACCUGGAACCCGAAUUGAAAUUGCAAGUUUUGUGAUUGGAACAUGGAUUAAUCUCUGAAUCGUAUGAGAACUAUCAGAUAAACCUAUUUGCGGGUUACACGCAAUGAUUUAUCGGAUUAGACAGAGAUCACUCUUGUUGGAAUUGAAAUUGGUUGAAUCUGUGAAUGAGAAUUGUGAAGAGCACACCAACACUAACCUGAAUCCAACAUCUGAUAUGCUCCAAGUACUGCCCUUAUCAACAACUGCUGAUCCUGUAAACUACUGUUAAGCCAAAGCACUGAUGAAGUUUAAAGGUUGAAGUUCAAUCUCCUAACGGAAUCCAAGUACUGCUGAAGAGUUAAAGCACUGCCCAUUCAAGGCCUGAUCACCCUUUGAAGAAAGCACUGUUGCUCAAACAACAGUGGUUG